rnacentral:lncRNA from 1 species
GGAAAUUAAUAAGGCCUUUUUGUAUGGAGAUUUAGAUGUUAAUGACGUAGUUCUGUUUUAAUCAUGUUUAGCUGUUUUAUUAUUUUCCUGUACAACGGAUAGAGAUGGGUCUUUUGAAAGAAAAACUGUAGAUUCUGAUCGUCUUGUCAAUAAAAGAAAAAGCUCAUUUAACCCCAAAAAGGAAAAAAAUUGAACUUGUGAAGAAUCUUCGUUAAUUAUAUCCUAUAUUGGGUGGAAAAUUUGGUGUUUUAUUUGUCCAUCUUGGAGAAAUUUUGCACAUCAUUUAAGGGGAAAAAAAGUAAAUGUAGCAAUAAAGUAGGUGCACGAAGUAAAACAAAAGUGAG